ensembl:lncRNA
GAAACCCACCUCAUUACUCAAACAUCUGGUAUGCAUCUCUCUCAGUCAGUCUCACACACACACUGUAUGCCAGUCAUCACACACACCACAGGCCCCUGAAAGGUUCCACAACACCUCGCUCUGCACACCCGCUCUAGCUCCAGUGAUCUAAUUAAUUAUUUACAGGCAGAGAGGUGUGAGAGAGAGAGAGAAUGUCGGGGUGUGAGGUGCUGUGAGCGGGUGAGGAGUUGUAAGAAUCAGCUGCAGCAGAGCAAAGCUACAGGAGAUGGACAUGAACAGUUCAAACGUUACAGGGAGUCCCAGUGAGAAAGGGCAAUGGUGAGUCUCAUGUAGCCAAAUGUAAACUGGCAGAGAGGAAGAGGGAAGAGAGAGGAGGCCGGUGACACAAUAGGCCUGUCUGACUGUGGUAGAGAAAUGACACAUCACGGAACACCAGAACUUGCAGUAAUGUCCCUCUGACCGGGACAUGAAAACCAACGGGCCUUCUGUAAGCAUACAUUACACCUAGCCAUCAAUUCAGCAGGAAAACAACAUAACACUUAUACAUGUAAAAUAUAGAACAGGCCGAAUUACAGCCGAGCACAGCAGACCCAAGACAAAACCACUGAAAUUACAGAGAUAACCAGACAAUGGCAGCAGAGAAGCCAAUGCUGAGAUAGACUGCAGCACAUGAAUGGAGCACCGGGCAGCAAUCAUCAUCCAAUGUAAGCCAACCAUCAGAACAUGAGAGGAGUUCUCAUUACUAGGGCUCUGUAAAAUCUGCCAGGUGGAGAACGGCAAUGGACAUUAAAACAGAAUUUAACCAUAUAAAUUGUUUUAUUGAACUUAGUAGGGAAUCAACUAAAUGUAUUGAAAAUGUAUUAAUUUAAGCAAGCUUAUCAUACAUAAGACAUGAACAGAAUACAUCAGUGAUGUGUAUUUCCUGCAACUUUCUGAAGAGUUAAUGAGAAUUCCCCAUCUGUGUAUGCGCAGUGAGUGCGUCUACCACUUUGUGUAGUCGUUAGCGAUGAUGCUAAUGAAAAGUCUUCUGGUAGAUGGAAAGGCUUUCCAAAAAACCUUCUCAAUAAAAUGUUAACUACAAAGUAACCUAUGCUUAAAUGGAUUAUUUGCAUCAAUCUAGUGGGUAUUUAUUCCAUGUGUAACUCCGUGUUGUUGUUUGUGUGGCACUGCUUUGCUUUAUCUUAGCCAGG